AGUCGAGCGAAUGGAUUGAGAGCUUGCUCUCAAGAAGUUAGCGGCGGACGGGUGAGUAACACGUGGGUAACCUGCCCAUAAGACUGGGAUAACUCCGGGAAACCGGGGCUAAUACCGGAUAAUAUUUUGAACUGCAUGGUUCGAAAUUGAAAGGCGGCUUCGGCUGUCACUUAUGGAUGGACCCGCGUCGCAUUAGCUAGUUGGUGAGGUAACGGCUCACCAAGGCAACGAUGCGUAGCCGACCUGAGAGGGUGAUCGGCCACACUGGGACUGAGACACGGCCCAGACUCCUACGGGAGGCAGCAGUAGGGAAUCUUCCGCAAUGGACGAAAGUCUGACGGAGCAACGCCGCGUGAGUGAUGAAGGCUUUCGGGUCGUAAAACUCUGUUGUUAGGGAAGAACAAGUGCUAGUUGAAUAAGCUGGCACCUUGACGGUAC
rnacentral:rRNA from 1 species